GGGCGUGUAGCUCAGCUGGGAGAGCACCUGCCUUGCAAGCAGGGGGUCAGCGGUUCGAUUCCGCUCGUCUCCACCA
rnacentral:tRNA from 1 species